GCCAGGAAGAGGAAGAAAGAGAGAAUCUCAGAAUUGUAGGAAUGAGAACAUGGAGGAAAGCUUAAGCACUAGUGUCCCCUUUAAUAUAUAUUGGAAGUGGAAACUUAGAUUCAUGUUUUACUGAUGCCUCCCAUUCCUAUGGUUCUUAGGUACUCCUUCCUCCUCCUUUGGGCU
rnacentral:pre_miRNA from 1 species